rnacentral:rRNA from 1 species
CAGAAUCCGGUUGAUCCUGCCGGACCUGACUGCUAUCGGAUUGAUACUAAGCCAUGCGAGUCAUUGUAGCAAUACAAGGCAUACGGCUCAGUAACGCGUAGUCAACCUAACCUAUGGACGGGAAUAACCUCGGG